AUGUGCAGUGCAUUUCAGGGUCUCCAAGGAAGCCGUGUUAUGAUCACGACACGAAGGGAAGAUGUUGCGGCUCUUGCUCUAGCGAGCCGUCGCCUACAACUCCAGCCAUUGGGUAGGGACGAGUCAUUCAAGCUAUUCUGCUCAAGGGCUUUCCACAACACCCCAGACCGCAAGUGCCCUCCGGAGCUUGAGAAGGUGGCUGGUGAUGUAGUUAAGAAGUGUCAUGGCCUGCCAUUGACCAUUGUAUCUUCUGGCAGCCUAUUGUCCACGAAGCAGCCGACACAGCAUGCCUGGAAUCACAUGUACAAUCAUCUCCGGAGCGAACUACAGGCAAAUAACCAUGCCCAAGCUAUACUUAAUCUGAGCUACCAUGACUUGCCAGGUGAUCUCAGGAACUGCUUCCUGUACUGCAGCUUGUUCCCUGAAGACUAUGCAAUGUCACGGGAGAACCUUGUGCGGUUGUGGGUUGCUGAAGGGUUCGCGAUGAAGAAAGAUAACAGCGCGCCGGAGGAAGUGGCUGAGGGGAAUCUCAUGGAACUCAUCGGUCGGAAUAUGUUGGAAGUUGUGGAGAGGGAUGAGCUCUUCAGGGUUAGUAAAUGUAAGAUGCAUGACAUUGUCCGAGACCUGGCCCUGGUUAUUGCUAAAGAGGAGAGGUUUGGUUCCGCGAAUGAUCAAGGCGAAAUGAUGCGUGUGGAUAAAGAAGUUCGCCGGUUUUCAACAUGCGGUUGGAGAGACAGCAACACAGUUGCUACCGAAGUGGAAUUUCCACGACUCCGGACCGUCAUCUCGCUUGGGGCAACUUCAUCCUCCACCAACAUGAUUUCCUCAGUUUUGUCUGGAUCCAGCUACCUUACUGUUCUCGAGCUUCAAGACUCUGCAAUCAACCAACUGCCAGUAUCCAUUGGGAAUCUGUUCAAUCUCCGCUACAUUGGCUUAAGGCGCACAAAUGUUCAGUCACUGCCAGACACUAUUGAAAAACUCUCAAACCUGGAGACAUUGGACGUCAAGCAAACAAGAAUAGAAAAGCUACCACCUGGAAUUGUGAAGGUUGCCAAGCUACAACACCUUUUAGCUGACAGAUUUGCUGAUGAGAAGCAGGCGCAGUUCAGGUACUUUGUCGGAGUGGAAGCACCGAAAACGAUUUCCAACUUUAAAGAACUGCAAACUCUUGAGACCGUCCAUGCCAGCAAAGACUUGUCGCUAGAGCUGAAGAAAAUGAGCAAGUUGCAGACUGUUUGGAUCGAUGACAUCAAUGCAUCUAACUGUGAUGACCUUUUCAAGACCCUCUCAGUUUUGCCGCAACUUUCCAGCUUACUUCUCUGUGCAUGUGAUGAGAAGGAGACACUUUCUUUCCAGGCACUCAAGCCAAUGUCUGAGAAGCUCCAUAGACUGAUCAUCAGAGGCGGCUGGGCUGCUGGGACACUCAAGUGCCCAAUAUUUAAGGACCAUGGCAAGAAUCUCAAGUAUCUGGCUCUAAGCUGGUGCAAUCUUGGGACAGAAGACCCGCUGCAGCUGUUGUCAUCUCAUCUGUCAGCUCUCACUUAUCUCAGUCUUAACAGGGUGAGCAGUGCAGGUACAUUGGUUCUUUCUGCUGGGUGCUUCUCCGAGCUGAAGACACUCGUCUUGAAGAGCAUGCCUGAUGUCAAGCAACUGGAGAUUAAAGAGGGCGCCAUUCCAUGCAUUGAUGGGAUCUACAUCGUGUCACUCUCGGAGCUGAGUAUGGUCCCUCGUGGCAUCGAAGCCCUUGGAUCUCUCAAGAAGCUCUGGAUGUUGUACCUGCACAAGGGCUUCAAGGAUGACUGGGAUCAGAAGGAGAUGCACAACAAGAUGAAGCAUGUUCUAGAGAUCCGUGCCUAG
rnacentral:rRNA from 1 species